rnacentral:rRNA from 1 species
GUAGGGAAUAUUGGGCAAUGGAGGCAACUCUGACCCAGCCAUGCCGCGUGCAGGAAGACGGUCCUCUGGAUUGUAAACUGCUUUUGAAUGGGAAGAAACGCACUUUUGCGAAAGUGUUUGACGGUACUAUUAGAAUAAGCACCGGCUAACUCCGUGCCAGCAGCCGUGGUAAUACGGAGGGUGCAAGCGUUAUCCGGAUUUAUUGGGUUUAAAGGGUGCGUAGGCGGCUUGAUAAGUCUGGGGUUAAAGGCGGCAGCUUAACUGUACGCAUGCCCUGGAAACUGUGAAGCUUGAGUGACUUGGAGGUAGCUAGAAUUCCCUGUGUAGCGGUGAAAUGCAUAGAUACGGGGAGGAAUACCGAUUGCGAAGGCAUGUUACUACGAGUAAACUGACGCUGAUGCACGAAAGCGUGGGGAUCAAACAGGAUUAGAUACCCUAGUAGUCC